rnacentral:rRNA from 1 species
UGGGGAAUUUUGGACAAUGGGCGAAAGCCUGAUCCAGCAAUGCCGCGUGUGUGAAGAAGGCCUUCGGGUUGUAAAGCACUUUUGCCCGGAAAGAAAUCCUUGGCUCUAAUACAGUCGGGGGAUGACGGUACCGGAAGAAUAAGCACCGGCUAACUACGUGCCAGCAGCCGCGGUAAUACGUAGGGUGCAAGCGUUAAUCGGAAUUACUGGGCGUAAAGCGUGCGCAGGCGGUUUGCUAAGACCGAUGUGAAAUCCCCGGGCUCAACCUGGGAACUGCAUUGGUGACUGGCAGGCUAGAGUAUGGCAGAGGGGGGUAGAAUUCCACGUGUAGCAGUGAAAUGCGUAGAGAUGUGGAGGAAUACCGAUGGCGAAGGCAGCCCCCUGGGCCAAUACUGACGCUCAUGCACGAAAGCGUGGGGAGCAAACAGGAUUAGAUACCCUGGUAGUCCACGCCCUAAACGAUGUCAACUAGUUGUUGGGGAUUCAUUUCCUAGUAACGUAGCUAACGCGUGAAGUUGACCGCCUGGGGAGUACGGUCGCAAGAUUAAAACUCAAAUGAAUUG